rfam:Strongyloides papillosus strain LIN genome assembly, scaffold: SPAL_scaffold0000056
ACAACGGCCCUCUUUAGAGCCACCAAUUUUCAAUAAUAAAUUAUUU